rnacentral:sRNA from 1 species
GUGUUUUUCAUAGUAUUAGAUAUAAGAUUAAUUAAAGGAGACGUACCCGCUUGUGAUAAGUAAGUACAUCAAAAACAGAAGCGUCUGUUUGAUUGAUAAAUGUGUAAGGAGCAUCGGUUUACCAGAGCCGAUGCUUUUUUUGU